rnacentral:rRNA from 1 species
UUAAGCGACUAAGCGUACACGGUGGAUGCCCUGGCAGUCAGAGGCGAUGAAGGACGUGCUAAUCUGCGAUAAGCGUCGGUAAGGUGAUAUGAACCGUUAUAACCGGCGAUUUCCGAAUGGGGAAACCCAGUGUGAUUCGUCACACUAUCAUUAACUGAAUCCAUAGGUUAAUGAGGCGAACCGGGGGAACUGAAACAUCUAAGUACCCCGAGGAAAAGAAAUCAACCGAGAUUCCCCCAGUAGCGGCGAGCGAACGGGGAGGAGCCCAGAGCCUGAAUCAGUGUGUGUGUUAAGCGUCUGGAAAGGCGCGCGAUACAGGGUGACAGCCCCGUACACAAAAAUGCACAUGCUGUGAGCUCGAUGAGUAGGGCGGGACACGUGGUAUCCUGUCUGAAUAUGGGGGGACCAUCCUCCAAGGCUAAAUACUCCUGACUGACCGAUAGUGAACCAGUACCGUGAGGGAAAGGCGAAAAGAACCCCGGCGAGGGGAGUGAAAAAGAACCUGAAACCGUGUACGUACAAGCAGUGGGAGCACGCUUAGGCGUGUGACUGCGUACCUUUUGUAUAAUGGGUCAGCGACUUAUAUUCUGUAGCAAGGUUAACCGAAUAGGGGAGCCGAAGGGAAACCGAGUCUUAACUGGGCGUUAAGUUGCAGGGUAUAGACCCGAAACCCGGUGAUCUAGCCAUGGGCAGGUUGAAGGUUGGGUAACACUAACUGGAGGACCGAACCGACUAAUGUUGAAAAAUUAGCGGAUGACUUGUGGCUGGGGGUGAAAGGCCAAUCAAACCGGGAGAUAGCUGGUUCUCCCCGAAAGCUAUUUAGGUAGCGCCUCGUGAAUUCAUCUCCGGGGGUAGAGCACUGUUUCGGCAAGGGGGUCAUCCCGACUUACCAACCCGAUGCAAACUGCGAAUACCGGAGAAUGUUAUCACGGGAGACACACGGCGGGUGCUAACGUCCGUCGUGAAGAGGGAAACAACCCAGACCGCCAGCUAAGGUCCCAAAGUCAUGGUUAAGUGGGAAACGAUGUGGGAAGGCCCAGACAGCCAGGAUGUUGGCUUAGAAGCAGCCAUCAUUUAAAGAAAGCGUAAUAGCUCACUGGUCGAGUCGGCCUGCGCGGAAGAUGUAACGGGGCUAAACCAUGCACCGAAGCUGCGGCAGCGACGCUGAUGCGUUGUUGGGUAGGGGAGCGUUCUGUAAGCCUGCGAAGGUGUGCUGUGAGGCAUGCUGGAGGUAUCAGAAGUGCGAAUGCUGACAUAAGUAACGAUAAAGCGGGUGAAAAGCCCGCUCGCCGGAAGACCAAGGGUUCCUGUCCAACGUUAAUCGGGGCAGGGUGAGUCGACCCCUAAGGCGAGGCCGAAAGGCGUAGUCGAUGGGAAACAGGUUAAUAUUCCUGUACUUGGUGUUACUGCGAAGGGGGGACGGAGAAGGCUAUGUUGGCCGGGCGACGGUUGUCCCGGUUUAAGCGUGUAGGCUGGUUUUCCAGGCAAAUCCGGAAAAUCAAGGCUGAGGCGUGAUGACGAGGCACUACGGUGCUGAAGCAACAAAUGCCCUGCUUCCAGGAAAAGCCUCUAAGCAUCAGGUAACAUCAAAUCGUACCCCAAACCGACACAGGUGGUCAGGUAGAGAAUACCAAGGCGCUUGAGAGAACUCGGGUGAAGGAACUAGGCAAAAUGGUGCCGUAACUUCGGGAGAAGGCACGCUGAUAUGUAGGUGAAGCGACUUGCUCGUGGAGCUGAAAUCAGUCGAAGAUACCAGCUGGCUGCAACUGUUUAUUAAAAACACAGCACUGUGCAAACACGAAAGUGGACGUAUACGGUGUGACGCCUGCCCGGUGCCGGAAGGUUAAUUGAUGGGGUUAGCGCAAGCGAAGCUCUUGAUCGAAGCCCCGGUAAACGGCGGCCGUAACUAUAACGGUCCUAAGGUAGCGAAAUUCCUUGUCGGGUAAGUUCCGACCUGCACGAAUGGCGUAAUGAUGGCCAGGCUGUCUCCACCCGAGACUCAGUGAAAUUGAACUCGCUGUGAAGAUGCAGUGUACCCGCGGCAAGACGGAAAGACCCCGUGAACCUUUACUAUAGCUUGACACUGAACAUUGAGCCUUGAUGUGUAGGAUAGGUGGGAGGCUUUGAAGUGUGGACGCCAGUCUGCAUGGAGCCGACCUUGAAAUACCACCCUUUAAUGUUUGAUGUUCUAACGUGGACCCGUAAUCCGGGUUGCGGACAGUGUCUGGUGGGUAGUUUGACUGGGGCGGUCUCCUCCUAAAGAGUAACGGAGGAGCACGAAGGUUGGCUAAUCCUGGUCGGACAUCAGGAGGUUAGUGCAAUGGCAUAAGCCAGCUUGACUGCGAGCGUGACGGCGCGAGCAGGUGCGAAAGCAGGUCAUAGUGAUCCGGUGGUUCUGAAUGGAAGGGCCAUCGCUCAACGGAUAAAAGGUACUCCGGGGAUAACAGGCUGAUACCGCCCAAGAGUUCAUAUCGACGGCGGUGUUUGGCACCUCGAUGUCGGCUCAUCACAUCCUGGGGCUGAAGUAGGUCCCAAGGGUAUGGCUGUUCGCCAUUUAAAGUGGUACGCGAGCUGGGUUUAGAACGUCGUGAGACAGUUCGGUCCCUAUCUGCCGUGGGCGCUGGAGAACUGAGGGGGGCUGCUCCUAGUACGAGAGGACCGGAGUGGACGCAUCACUGGUGUUCGGGUUGUCAUGCCAAUGGCACUGCCCGGUAGCUAAAUGCGGAAGAGAUAAGUGCUGAAAGCAUCUAAGCACGAAACUUGCCCCGAGAUGAGUUCUCCCUGACUCCUUGAGAGUCCUGAAGGAACGUUGAAGACGACGACGUUGAUAGGCCGGGUGUGUAAGCGCAGCGAUGCGUUGAGCUAACCGGUACUAAUGAACCGUGAGGCUUAACCU